CUUCCAUAGGUCGUACCUGAAU
rnacentral:miRNA from 1 species